GAUGAACGCUGGCGGCGUGCUUAACACAUGCAAGUCGAACGAUGAAGCCCAGCUUGCUGGGUGGAUUAGUGGCGAACGGGUGAGUAACACGUGAGUAACCUGCCCUUUACUCUGGGAUAAGCCUGGGAAACUGGGUCUAAUACCGGAUAGGAGCGUCCACCGCAUGGUGGGUGUUGGAAAGAUUUAUCGGUUUUGGAUGGACUCGCGGCCUAUCAGCUUGUUGGUGAGGUAAUGGCUCACCAAGGCGACGACGGGUAGCCGGCCUGAGAGGGUGACCGGCCACACUGGGACUGAGACACGGCCCAGACUCCUACGGGAGGCAGCAGUGGGGAAUAUUGCACAAUGGGCGCAAGCCUGAUGCAGCGACGCCGCGUGAGGGAUGACGGCCUUCGGGUUGUAAACCUCUUUCAGUAGGGAAGAAGCGAAAGUGACGGUACCUGCAGAAGAAGCACCGGCUAACUACGUG
rnacentral:rRNA from 1 species